rnacentral:rRNA from 1 species
GAUGAACGCUGGCGGCGUGCCUAAUACAUGCAAGUCGAGCGAACAGACGAGGAGCUUGCUCCUCUGACGUUAGCGGCGGACGGGUGAGUAACACGUGGAUAACCUACCUAUAAGACUGGGAUAACUUCGGGAAACCUGAGCUAAUACCGGAUAAUAUAUUGAACCGCAUGGUUCAAUAGUGAAAGACGGUUUUGCUGUCACUUAUCGAUGGAUCCGCGCCGCAUUAGCUAGUUGGUAAGGUAACGGCUUACCAAGGCAACGAUGCGUAGCCGACCUGAGAGGGUGAUCGGCCACACUGGAACUGAGAAACGGUCCAGACUCCUAAGGGAGGCAGCAGUAGGGAAUCUUCCGCAAUGGGCGAAAGCCUGACGGAGCAACGCCGCGUGAGUGAUGAAGGUCUUCGGAUCGUAAAACUCUGUUAUUAGGGAAGAACAAAUGUGUAAGUAACUAUGCACGUCUUGACGGUACCUAAUCAGAAAGCCACGGCUAACUACGUG